UUUUUCUUCGAAAAGGGGGAAUUCCUCGGCCUCUGCAUCAGAAAGAUGCAUACGGCCAUCUUAUUAACCAAAAAAGCAGUGCCAACAUGGUUCCAAGGUCUUCAAAAGUAAUAAAAAGCAAAGAAAGCUCACACAGAGCCAAAAAGGGCUAGAAACAUCCACUAGCCAAGAGAAGACGCCACAACCGGCUGGCUAAAACUAGGUAGGUAAACUACAUGCCUAUCCUAUUACAUGACCGCCAUCCAAACCGGUUGAAGAUAUCCCGAGCUACCAUCUCCCAUCGGAAAGACCCAGUAACCAAAUGCUCCCUGGCCUCCGUCUGGGUGAGUAGCGACCAUGUACGGAUCGUAGCCGUAGUUCGGAAUAAAACCUGCAAAAAAUGGAUACAUGAUAUUCUGUUAAAAACCAAAUCAUUUCUGCAAGUCCAGAUAGUCCACAUCAAAGCACAAACUCCAACCCAAAUGUGUCUCGCUAAGUUAGGCUCAAUCCCAUUAAGCCAUGUCCCAAAUAACGCAUUAACAGAAUUCGGUGGAUUGAUAUUAAAAGUAAUGUGGACCGUCUGCCAAAGUACUUUGGCCAACGGGCAAUCAAAGAAGAGGUGUUUGAUUGUCUCAUCCCGAUCACAGAAACUACACCUAGUAGGUCCUGUCGAAUUACGCUUUAUCAAGUUGUCCUUGGUUAAAAUAACUUGUUUAUGGACAAACCACAUAAACACUUUUAUUUUCAAAGGAACUUUGACCGCCCAAACAUGCUUAGAGGUAGGAAUGGAGUUCGAAUUAAUAACAUCAAUAUACAUUGAUUUAACAGUGAAUACUCCAGACUUAGUCAAUUUCCAGCGUAAUUCAUCGGGUUGUUGAGAUAGUUGGAUCUCCAUCAGUCUCCUAACUAAACGGAGCCAGUCUUCCCAACGAUUGCCCGCUAGCGUCCGUCGAAACUGAAUAUUAAGGGGGAUAGAUUGAAAUACCGAAGCAACGAACACUUCACGUCGUUGAACAAUACGGUAUAAAGAUGGAUAUUGGAUGGCCAAAGGUGUCUCACCGAGCCAAGUAUCCUCCCAGAAACGUGUACUAGAGCCGUUUCCAAUAACAAACUUCAUCCUAUUAAAGAAAGAUUGUUUGACUUUCAUCAGACCUUUCCAGAAAGGUGAAUCAGUCGGCCUGACUGUAACCUAGGACAAAGUUUUUGUCUGGAGGUACUUGGCAUGAAGGAUUUGAGACCACAUGGCAUCAUUCUCCGUUGAGAGCUUCCACAACCACUUGCUAAGAAGGCAUCUAUUCUUAACUUCUAGAUUCUCAAUACCGAGACCCCCUUGGUCUUUCGGUCUACAGAUGAUAUCCCACUUAGCAAGUCGAUAUUUUCGUUUAAGCUCAUCACCCUGCCAAAAGAAACGCGAUCGAUAGAAGUCCAGUCUCUUCCUAACACCAACUGGUACCUCAAAGAACGAUAGGAGAAACAUAGGCAUACUCGUGAGCACCGAAUUAAUCAGGAUUAAUCGGCCUCCAUAUGACAUGAGUUUACCCUUCCAACAACUCAGUUUCUUCUCAAAUCAGUCCUCGAUGCACUUCCACUCUUUGUUUGUCAGCCUACGAUGGUGGAUUGGAAUACCCAGGUAAGAGAAGGGUAACUCUCCCAACUCGCAUCCAAACAAUUGCCUAUAAGCCUCCUGUUCGUCUUUGGCUCUACCAAAACAGAACAGCUCGCUCUUAUGAAAGUUAAUCUUUAACCCGGUCAAUUGUUCAAAUAGGCAUAACACAAGCCUCAUAUUUCUCGCCUUGGCCAAGUCAUGCUCCAUAAAUAUAAUUGUAUCAUCAGCGUACUGAAGGAUGGAUACACCUCCAUCAACGAGAUGAGGUACCAAUCCACCUACUUGACCAUUUUCCUUAGCUCUUCCUAUAUCAAAAUUGCUAACAUAUCCACCACAAUGUUAAACAGGAUAGGGGACAUCGGAUCUCCUUGUCUUAGGCCUUUAUGUGUCUGGAAGUAAUGACCUAUAUCAUCAUUAGCUUUAAUUCCCACACUACCUUUUUGCGUAAAAGAUUCAACCUGUCGGCGCCAGGCUUCAUCAAAACCUUUCAUACGCAAUGACUGUUGGAGGAAUGGCCAUUUGAUCUUAUCGUACGCUUUCUCGAAAUCCACCUUAAAAAUUACUCCAUCUAAUUUUUUGGAAUGGAUUUCAUGGAGCGUUUCAUGCAGGACGACCACCCCUUCAAGGAUAUUUCUGUCCGGCAUGAAAGCAGUUUAGGACUGUUGCACCACAGAAUGCGCAAUCUGUGUGAGCCUAUUAGUCCCUACCUUGGUGAAAAUUUUGAAACUAACAUUGAGGAGGCAUAUCGGCCUGAAUUGCUCAAUUCUCACAGCAUCCGUUUUCUUAGGAAGCAGUCUGAUAGUUCCAAAAUUCAAGUGAAAUAACUGAAGCUGUCUAGAAAACAGACCAUGGAACAUAGGUAGCAAAUCCCCCUUAAUAAUGUGCCAACACUUUUUAUAGAACUCUGCCGGGAAUCCAUCCGGUCCGGGAGCCUUAUUGUUUUUCAUCUGUGCAAUAGCAUCAAACACCUCCUUUUCUGAGAACGGGGCAACCAGAAUAUCAUUUUCAGCAGCCGAUAACUGAGGCACAUCCUCAGUCCUGGACUCAAUGAGGGAUACACAAUUAUCCUCCGGAGGUCCAAAUAACUGCUUGUAAUAUUCGGUAAUAUAUGUUUUUAGGUUAUCCUGACCUAAAAUAGUGCCCUCGUCUUGUUCGAGCUGAAAGAUACGCUUCUUUCUAUGCUUACCAUUAGCUAUCAAAUGGAAGAAUUGAGUAUUCGCGUCCCCUUGGACCACUUUGCGUACUUUAGCACGCAAAGCCCACUUCAGUUCUUCUUCGCGGAGCAGUUCUUUCAACCUCCUCUCCGCCUCAUUUUUAACCUGAAGCUCCGCAGGCAGUAAAAUAGUGGAUUCGGCCUUUAAGUCCAGGGCCUGUAUGAGAGAAAGGAGUCUAUCCUUUUCAAUCUUAUACACACCACUGAGGUGCUUAGCCCAACCCCGUAAGAAACUCCUCAAAUGCCUAAUCUUAUUUUGCCAAUGCUCGAUCGCAGUCUUGCCUCCUGCACCUCUAGCCCAUUCCCUGGCAAUCAAGUCCAAGAACCCCUCGCGUUCGAACCAUGACAUCUCGAAAGAAAAGGUGUUCUUGUUACCCACGUGGUUCGACUCCCCUGAGUCCACGAACAAGGGUGUGUGAUCUGAUAUUCCCCUCGAGAGAGCUUGCAUCGUAAACAGAGGGAACUUUUGUUCCCACUCCACGCUCGCAAGAACUCGAUCAAGUUUUUCAUACGUCGGGUUUGGCAGAGCAUUAGCCCAGGUAAACUUUCUACCAGAAAGCUCUAUCUCCCUCAGAUCCAAGCUUUCAAUAAUGGUAUUGAACAUAAACGACCAUCUGCCGUCAAAGUUAUCAUUAUUCUUCUCCUCUCUCCUUCUGAUGAUAUUGAAAUCACCUCCAACUAAAAUUGGAAGUUGUUCAGACCCACAGAUUCGAACAAGGUCCGCCAGAAACUCCGGUUUAAGCUCGGGCUAUGCGGCACCAUAAACCACCACCAAAGCCCAGUUAAAACCAUCUAUCUUAGACCUGACUCGAAACUUCACCGUGAAGUCACCCAUCACUACACUUCGGACUUCAAGCGAAUCACAUCUCACACCAAGUAAGAUACCACCCGAUCGUCCUCGCGGAGGGAGGCAAUGCCAAUCGAAAUCAAUACCACCCACAAGAGAAGAAAGAAACUGGGGCGCAAAGUUUUCUCUACCAGUCUCCGAUAGAGCAACAAAAUCUAACUUCUGCUCUAGAGCUGCGUCAGCAAGGAACCUUAUUUUAGCCAAGUCCUUCAGACCUCUGCUAUUCCAAAAGAUUCCUCUCAUAUUUCACCAUGGAAUUUUUUAGUGAUUCGAAUCCUAGCACUCCUACAAACUGCGGAAUCAGGAUAGAUCUUCCGUUUCCACUUACGUCUUGGUUUACUAGGCUCUGCCGCUCGGUCCUCAUAACCGGGUUCACUUGAAUUAUCAGCAUCAUACUCGAUGGGUACAUCAUCGUCCUCAGACACAUGAUUUGGAGGUGCUAGAUCCACACACAUAUUAUCUAGCACUCUAACCCCUAACGCAUCAAUCUCACCAUCAUUCAUCGGUUUAACUGCUGCAAGAUUACGAACAGUCUCUAAGACACGUUUCGCCUCCAAAUCUAACAGAUCAUUGACCGAAUUAGUGAUCUCACUAUCCAUGGCACCUAGUGAAACUCCUAACUGGUUUGCAUUAUUUAUAAUCUCCUCAUUAGAAAAAUGCAAUAAAGAGUUAGAUAUGUUGACGGACAUACCAGAAGAUGAUGUAGCCUCCUGAAGCUUGGCCGCCCUCAUAGCGCACCACUGCUGCAUAUCAUCCACCUCCAGGAGCUCGUGGAUGCGAGCACUCAUCCGUCUCCCUGUCGAGACGGGGUCCGGGAUCCCGCCAAAAGCAACAACCUCCUCCCUAGUAAAACCUGGCGCUGAGUCCCUCAAAGGGUCAGCCGAGGUUACCAGAGGAGGCGGCUGCGGGCUCCCAAGCCCCACAGACAGGUGCUCCACGGCGGUGUCCACUGCCACCGGUGCGGACAGAGAGGGGAUGACAGGGGCCGCCUGCCCGCGCCCUCCUCCCGCCCCAUCCGCUUGUGCAGACGGAAGAGCUGUCGGCGAAGAAGAGGCGGUCCUCCAGACCACCGGGGAAGAAGGAGGAGCCAGGGCCUCCUGCCCCAGCCCCUCCCCCAACACAGCAGAUGGCGCAGGUGUCGCCGCCUCCACCGGAGUAGCAGGAGCCGAGGCCACCUGCCUCGGGAUCCCUCCCCCGGCGUUGGCCGACCCCAACGUGACCGACGUCACCGGCGUCGGGAUAUGGAGGGGACACAUCAAGGCCUCCUGCCCCGACUCCCGCCCACCACCAGCAGCUCACAGGUAGCAAUCCGCACCGGCGCCUCGACCACCAGAGGAGGAAGGGAAAGAGAAGCGGCCUCCGGCUCCCCCACCCCAACUCCAACCAGAGUCCUCGCCGAUGAGGCCCUCACUAAGUGUCCAGAACCUCCAGCCCCCUCAAACUCCAACAGAGGAAGCGUGUGCUCAAACAAAUCAUCAGAAUCCACCCGGUCACUCCAAAGUCUAGGUGGCGCUGAUGCUGGCUCAAAGGACCCGAACCGCAACGAGGUCAUAGGCACCGAUGGCGAUGCUGCCGGCUCAACCCCGGUCCCCUCCCCGGGCAACUGAGUAUCUGGGCGAGACCCGUUCGACCCCUCUCGUGUCGGCUCAUUGGUCUGUGGCCCAUUGGCUCCUGCAUCUCCAUCACCCUCAUGCAUAUCAACAUCAUUCCCAUUAACCGCAUCUGCAAACAGAUCUGUGUCCUCAAAACUCAAUAUCUAGGGGGAACACCUCACCCCUAUAGGUCCAGUUGACCACAUCAGGCACGAACUCAAUAUCCAGAACACUGACUAAAAGCCGGGCCACCCCAUGAGCCCGAGUAAAAGCCAUAUCAACUCUCUCCGUUUUUCCAACCAACGUACCCAAACUGUCCACAACUCGAACAUCCUGCAAAGGCUUAGACGGGGCUCCUACAAACCGCAACCAGACCUGCGUAAGUGGCUUUCCCUUAGGCUCCACCUUCUUCCACUCGUGGAACUCCAGAAUGCCCGAAGUGCCAGGAACUCUACACAAACCAAAGCUCAACAAACGCUGCAAGUCAUCCACCGUGGGAAAAUCGACCUUAUAGACCUUAUCCUCGAAACCACCAGCUCCCAUCAAAAGUUCCCCGGAGCCAGCUCCUGAAACCUCCGCACGAUCUGAGCCUCAGUCACCUCUCCCUGGGUAGCCUUCACAACCCCGGUGGUCAAGCUCGGGGUUUCAUCCGGAAUCUCUCGCGCGGCUGGUGAUUCAUAAGCUCAGCACAGUAGACUCCAUACACAGUCAGUGACGGAGCCUGGUCACGCAAGAACGGGCACUCACUGGAGGGAUGAGCCGGCUUGACGCAUGUCUCACAUAGCUCGGCCACGCACUCAGCAAUGAAAUGGCCCUUCUCCCCACAACGGUAGCAAAGCAUCUUUUCCUUUUUGCGCGCAUAUUUGGACAGCCUGUCAGCAUCAGUCCUGCCAGUAUCCUCAGCCAUAGUCCCAUCCUCACGAACCUCCACAUUGGCCAAAGCAGUCACCACCUCCAUCGCCUGAGGAGGAAGUUCAGUGGGCGCGUGGUGGGGCUCCAGUGCUGACGCCGUGUGCUCAACAACUGCCUUAGGCGGGGGCGGUCGGCGAAACCUCCCACGGCCUCCUCCCCGACCUCCGCGAUGGCCCCGAAAGCCACCUCUCUGACGGUGAUCCGGGCCUGAGGCUCCCUCAACAAAACCGCCUGUAGGGCCGAGAAACGGUCUCUCCUCCAACCCGUCACUCUGCCAGGCAUAGCCAUGACCUCCUUCCGUGGACGAGGAGCCACGGUGCCGUCCCUCACCAUACGCAUCAUACCCAUCAUCCCUCCACUGGCCUUGGGGCGGAUCAUUGGUCUCUCUAUUGGUAGAAUGCUGUCUUGUCUGAGUCGGACCCGACCGGUUUUGCGCCGCCCUCGCAACGUGAUGGGGCGGAGGUGCGGCCCGCGGCUGAUUGCUCGACGGCAGCGGCACACCCCCAGAAGGCCGAGGCCCUCCACCACGGCCAGCCGGAACGACACCGGCUAUGCCCGGCGCCUGAGGCCGGGGCCCACCACGACCCGCCGCCGGCUGAGCCACAGAUGCCGCACUCGGCGCCGGAGGCCUGAGACCGUCUCUUCCGGCUAUAGCAUGGACGGGCACUUGCCACGGUGGCCGAGCGCCCACAAGGCCAACGCUGCGACCCUGGGAGCCUGGCGGCACACCACCGCUCACCGGCGGCCUCUGUCCAGGCUGCUCCAGGGCCCCGUGCCCCGCGCCCACCGCCGGCGGCAGUGCCGCACCGCUCGGCUGCGGAGCAGACCCACCCCGACCAACAGCAAUAGCGGUCGGCUGCUUCUUAGCGGGCGGCGCCGCAGCCCCACGACCUGCCAUGGACCCUAGAGGCGGAAUACGCACCGCUCUCCCCGGGCCACAACAGCGAAAACCCGGCGUGCCUCCCCUACGCAGACUAGGGCACAGCGACGGCGGCCAAGCGUACGUGACCUGGAGAUCGAUCGCAUGCAUGCAGUUCUGUACGUAUACGGUUGCCUCCACAGAAGCCUCGUUAGGCUGGGCCACACACCCAGUUAACGGCCCAGGUGGAUCUGCCGUGCGAUGGGCCUCAUACCCAUCGGAAGGCCGGCCCACGUCUCCCGAUGCCUGAUCGGGGCCACUGAGGCCCAAGAUCGAAUUCAAACGGCGAGACCUCUCGGCAUGGAUCUCGCUGAUCCCUCUGAUCGGCGGCGAGACCCGUCUGGCCGCACGAACAGUGCCCGAACUCGCCACCGGUGAUCUUGGCGGCGGCGGCGGCCGGCCAAUCUUUCCCUUCUUCUUCUUUCGCGUCACCAAAGUCCAAUCAUCCGGCAAAAAUUGAGACAAUGUCAUAGGUUCUCUACAUACCUUAGGGAUCGGUCCGAUCCAGGGCUUCAUAGCCGGCUUGGAGUUUUCAAGAUUUGAGUGACGUCAAACGAUCUUAAUCAUGGGCUCCGGCAAUGGUCCGACAGCCGGCAAAGCCAUGACCCUGGAGGGGACACACUCCGCUUGAUCUUCGUCGUCGCUCUCCAGAAGUGCCCAAAAACGUCCUCCCGGUCUUGCCUGAAUCGGCUCCGUCAGAUCAAUC
rnacentral:lncRNA from 1 species